GAAACUAAAAAACACCGCGAUGCGGGAAAGUCGUUUUCCCGUGCAUCGAGGAUGCUUGGAAACAUUAUCUUUCCAUUCAAUGAGUACAAAAAGAAUUUUUCGAGUUACAAGGAUCUAUUAAAUAAUGGGGACGCACCACAAGAUGGAUACUUUUUAGAAAUGUUCACAAGAGGUACCCAUGUCAAGGACGUAACGUUCAGAAACAGGCGGCUUUGCCGGAUGCCGACGAGGCGAAUGUGGUCUCACUUGAAAUUUUGAAUACAUACAAACGAAAUUUAUUCUAAAGUAUUGUAUUCUAAAUAUAAAUUAUAAUUUACAACCGA